rnacentral:rRNA from 1 species
UGCGUAGGCGGACUAAUAAGUCAGUGGUGAAAUCUCUCGGCUCAACCGGGAAACUGCCAUUGAUACUGUUAAUCUUGAGUUCGGUUGAGGUAGGCGGAAUGUGUAAUGUAGCGGUGAAAUGCUUAGAUAUUACACAGAACACCAAUUGCGUAGGCAGCUUACUAGACCGACACUGACGCUGAGGCACGAAAGCGUGGGGAGCGAACAGGAUUAGAUACCCUGGUAGUCC